CUUGGUGGAGACGGAAAGAGGAAACAAGAGUAGUAAAGGGUUCCUGCUGCUUAUAAACUCUCCCUUGAUGAGCUUUGAUGAUCCACGCCUGUGAGGCUGCACCUGCCUGUCACAUCCUGCAAGAGAAAGUGCUUUUAAUACCAUCCAGCAGGAACGUCUGAGGGACAAGCCAAAGCUGUCAGGAGUCGACCACCACCACUCUUAGCGCAUACUGGAUAACUGUGGCUGCCCACAGUAUGUGUUCACCAUCUGCACAGCAGACUUCUCCAAUAACUCACCAGGCUGCCUACAAAGGUUUCUUAAUGACCAUCUGUAAAGAGCCCAUAGUCGGCCUCAUCAGAGGGGAUGACGACUCAGAGUACAGACAGUAGACACAGUAUUUUGUGGACUGGUGCUAGCGGAACCACCUCCUGAUCACCGUGGGGAAAACCAAGGAGCUGAUGGUGGAUUUCCGCAGGCUCAGACCCACCACACUGACACUGGUAAACAUCCAGGUAAAUGACAUUGAGAUUGUAGAAUCUUAUAAGCACCUGGGUCUUCACCUGAACAAUAAACUGGACUGGAGUCACAACACUGGUUCUUUUUACAGGAAGUGUCAGAGCAGACUCUACCUGCUAAGGAGACUGAGCCUCCUGCACCCCUAAAGACCUUUUCUGACUUUGGUGGCAUCAGCCAUCUUCUUUGGUGUAGUUUGUUAGAUUAGCAGUUUAUCUACAGCUUAUAGGAAGUGUUUAGAUAAGCUCAUAAGGCCAGUGGUAUCCUAAGACACCCUCUCAGCCCAUUGGAGGUGGUGGGGGAUAGAAGGACUCUAGCAAAAAUAACAUCACUGUUAAACAAUGUCUCCCACCCCAUGCAUGAAGCUGUUGCAGAACUGGAGAGCUACUUCAGUGAAAGCAUCCUGCAUCCUAGGUGCGCAAAAGAGUUUUAUUGCUUACAUUUCCAUUUCACUUUGCUGUUGGUACAUGUGAAUUUCCUCACUGUGGGACCAUAAAGGAUAUUUCUAUUCUAUUUUCUUUUCUAAAAUAUAAAUUGCAGUUUGUGGUUUUAACAUGACAAAAUGUGAAUACAGUUCAAAGGGUAAUAAUAAUUUUGUAAGGCUUUGUGUCUAUAUGACCUCAUCCUCUGUGCAACAUCUUGUAGACACACACAUGACUGAACAGGCUGCCAUGAGGUCAGUGUUUGUUUUCCCUCUUUUGUCCCGGUCUUCAUCCCUCGGUUUAGAUCCAGGGUGACAGGGCAGAGUCAGAGUGGAUAGGCCAAGCGACCAUGAAGUGUAAGGGCAGAGAUAGUGGCCUGGGCAGUACGGUCGAGAGAUCUGAGCCUGUUGGUGACAGCACAGGCGCUUCUUGGGGGAAUAAUUCAAUCAUAACACAAGCGUGAUUAAGGUAGAGAGAGAGAAAGAGACUUGGGGGGGUGGGGGAGCUGUGAGUUAAAGCCAGAGUAUAAGAAACA